rnacentral:rRNA from 1 species
GGGGAAAUUCAUUCGCGUUUCGGCCGUCAGCGGGGAAUGGUCGAGUGACGGAUGGCCUUCGGGUCGUCUGCGCCUUCCGUUUUUCGAUCCGGCGUCGAACGCGUGCACUUUUCCCCUAGUAGGACGUCGCGAUCCGUUGGGUGUCGGUCUAAGGCCCUCGGUGGAGCCCGUGCGAUCGGUUCUCCGAUUCGUGCGGACCCGAGGUGUCCCGGCCGACUCGCUCGACGGUAUACAGAUGGCGCGGGGCCGCUAUUCAGUUAGCGUCCGGCCCGUGGCAAGCGCGCUGGGUGUGCUGGCGAUCGGACCUAGUGCCGGUCCCGGCCCCCAGUGACUGUUGGCUGCGGUGWUCUCGGACAGACCUCGUYGAAACGCCGWKSUGMSWCGCYAUAGCUUUGGGUACUWUCAGGACCCGUCUUGAA